CAAAAGGUUUCAUUUGAAACCACUGGUAUUCAUUUUCAGAAUGUGU
rfam:Loxodonta africana unplaced genomic scaffold scaffold_20, whole genome shotgun sequence.